rnacentral:rRNA from 1 species
GAUGAACGCUGGCGGCGUGCCUAAUACAUGCAAGUCGAGCGGACGGACGAUAAGCUUGCUUCUCUGAUGUUAGCGGCGGACGGGUGAGUAACACGUGGAUAACCUACUUAUAAUUCUGGGAUAAUUUCGGGAAACCGGAGCUAAUACCAGAUAAUAUUUUGAACCGCAUGGUUCAAAAGUGAAAGACGGUUUUGCUGUCUCUUAUAGAUGGUUCCGCGCUGCAUUAGCUAGUUGGUAAGGUAACGGCUUACCAAGGCAACGAUGCAUAGCCGACCUGAGAGGGUGAUCGGCCACACUGGAACUGAGACACGGUCCAGACUCCUACGGGAGGCAGCAGUAGGGAAUCUUCCGCAAUGGGCGAAAGCCUGACGGAGCAACGCCGCGUGAGUGAUGAAGGUCUUCGGAUCGUAAAACUCUGUUAUUAGGGAAGAAUAGAUGUGUAAGUAACUGUGCACAUCUUGACGGUACCUAAUCAGAAAGCCACGGCUAACUACGUG